CCUACGGGCGGCAGCAGUGGGGAAUAUUGCGCAAUGGGGGAAACCCUGACGCAGCAACGCCGCGUGAAUGAAGAAGGCCUUAGGGUUGUAAAGUUCUGUCAUAUGGGAAGAUAAUGACGGUACCAUAUGAGGAAGCCACGGCUAACUACGUGCCAGCAGCCGCGGUAAUACGUAGGUGGCAAGCGUUGUCCGGAUUUACUGGGCGUAAAGGAUGCGUAGGCGGACAUUUAAGUCAGAUGUGAAAUACCCGAGCUCAACUUGGGUGCUGCAUUUGAAACUGGGUGUCUAGAGUGCAGGAGAGGAAAGCGGAAUUCCUAGUGUAGCGGUGAAAUGCGUAGAGAUUAGGAAGAACACCAGUGGCGAAGGCGGCUUUCUGGACUGUAACUGACGCUGAGGCAUGAAAGCGUGGGGAGCAAACAGGAUUAGAUACCCUUGUAGU
rnacentral:rRNA from 1 species